GGGUGAGUAACGCGUGAGCAACGUGCCCGUAUGUGGGGGAUAGUCGAUGGAAACGUCGCGUAAUACCCCGUAACACACUUCCCCGCAUGAGGAGGUGUUGAAAGAUUUAUUGCAUACGGAUCGGCUCGCGUGCCAUUAGGUAGACGGCGGGGUAACGGCCCACCGUGCCGACGAUGGCUAGGGGUUCUGAGAGGAAGGUCCCCCACAUUGGAACUGAGACACGGUCCAGACUCCUACGGGAGGCAGCAGUGAGGAAUAUUGGACAAUGGCCGGAAGGCUGAUCCAGCCAUGCCGCGUGCGGGAGGACGGCCCUAUGGGUUGUAAACCGCUUUUGCGAGGGAGCAAUAAGAGUCACGUGUGGCUCGAUGAGAGUACCUCGCGAAUAAGCAUCGGCUAACUCCGUGCCAGCAGCCGCGGUAAUACGGAGGAUGCAAGCGUUAUCCGGAUUUAUUGGGUUUAAAGGGUGCGUAGGCGGUUUGCUAAGCGGGAGGUGAAAUGCCGGCGCUCAACGUCGGAAGUGCCUCCCGAACUGGUGGACUUGAAUGACUCUGCCGUGGGAGGAAUGUGUAGUGUAGCGGUGAAAUGCUUAGAGAUUACACAGGACACCGAUUGCGAAGGCA
rnacentral:rRNA from 1 species